AUCGCGUCUGGAGAGUAGCUAGUAUUCUUCCAGCUUCGGAAGCAAGAGGGAGAGCAAGCCUAGCAGAGGUACCCAUUCCAUUCCCAGUUUGCUCGGUAGCUGGUGAUUGGAAGACACUCUGCAACAUUA